AGUGAACGCUGGCGGUAGGCCUAACACAUGCAAGUCGAACGGCAGCACAGUAAGAGCUUGCUCUUACGGGUGGCGAGUGGCGGACGGGUGAGGAAUACAUCGGAAUCUACUUUUUCGUGGGGGAUAACGUAGGGAAACUUACGCUAAUACCGCAUACGACCUACGGGUGAAAGCAGGGGAUCUUCGGACCUUGCGCGAUUGAAUGGGCCGAUGUCGGAUUAGCGAGUUGGCGGGGUAAAGGCCCACCAAGGCGACGAUCCGUAGCUGGUCUGAGAGGAUGAUCAGCCACACUGGAACUGAGACACGGUCCAGACUCCUACGGGAGGCAGCAGUGGGGAAUAUUGGACAAUGGGCGCAAGCCUGAUCCAGCCAUACCGCGUGGGUGAAGAAGGCCUUCGGGUUGUAAAGCCCUUUUGUUGGGAAAGAAAAGCAGCAGGUUAAUACCCCGCUGUUCUGACGGUACCCAAAGAAUAAGCACCGGCUAACUUCGUG
rnacentral:rRNA from 1 species